GACAGAGGAUGCAAGCGUUAUCCGGGAUGAUUGGGCGUAAAGCGUCUGUAGGUGGCUUUUUAAGUCUGCCGUCAAAUCCCAGGGCUUAACCCUGGACAGGCGGUGGAAACUACCAAGCUGGAGUACGGUAGGGGCAGGGGGAAUUUCCGGUGGAGCGGUGAAAUGCGUAGAGAUCGGAAAGAACACCAACGGCGAAAGCACUCUGCUGGGCCGACACUGACACUGAGAGACGAAAGCUAGGGGAGCGAAUGGG
rnacentral:rRNA from 1 species